AUAUAUAUAUAUAUAUACACACACAUGAAUCCAUUCUCCCCCAAACUCCUCUCCCAUCCAGUCUGCCACAUAACUUUGAGCAGAGUUUCAUGUGCUAUAUAGUAGUUCCUUGUUGGUUAUCUAUUUAAAUAUAGCACUGUAUAUAUGUCCAUUGCAAACUCCCUGACUAUUCUUUCCCCUCAUCCUUUCCACCAGCAACCAUAAGUUCGUUCUCUAAGUCUGUGAAUCUCUUUCUGUUUUGUAAGUAAGUUCAUUUGUAUCAUUUAUUUUUAGAUUCCAACAUAUAAGGGAUGUCAUACACUAUUUCUUCUUCUCGGUCUGACCUACUUCAUUUUGUAUCCACACCUAAUUUUAGUUCUGCUAUUUCCACCUCUGCGGUGACUUCCUCUACUGAAAUCUUGAACCUCUCAAAGUGUUAGCUAUGAGAGUUGGAAUCAAUUUCUUUGAAACUCUUAUUAUGGAUAUUUUGACUUCUCAUGAAUCAUGAAUGUUCUUAAUGGCAUCUAGAAUGAUGAAUCCUUUCCAGAAGGUUUCAAUUGAUUUGCCCAGAUCCAUUAGAGGAAUCACUAUCUCUGGCAGCUACGACCUUAUGAAAUGUAUUUCUUAAAUAACACUGAAAAUCAAAAUUAUUCUUUGAUCCAUUAGCUACAGUAUGGAUGUUGUAGUCACAGGCAUGAAAACAACAUUAAUCUCACUGUAACCUACAUCAGAGCUUCUGGGGUGACCAUGUGCAUCGUCAAUGAACAGCAAUGUUUUGAAAAAAACCUUUUCUGAGCAGGAGGUCUCAGCAGUGAGCCUAAAAUAUUCAGUAAACCAUGUUGUCAGCAAAUAUGCUGUCAUUCAGGCUUUGUUUUUCCAUUUGUAGAGGACAGGCAGAGUAGAUUUAUAUAAUUCUUAAGGAUCCUAAGAUUUCAGAACAGUCAAUGAGCUUUGGCUUCAAUGUAUAAUCACUAGCUACAUUAGCUCCUAAUAAGAAAGUUAGCCUGUCAUUUGAAGCCAGGCAAUAAUUUUUCCUCCCUACCCAUGAAAGUCCUAGAUGGCAUCUUCUUCCUAUAGAAGGCUGUUUUGUUUCCAUUGAAAAUCUAUUGUUUAGUGUAGCCCACUUCAUUAACUAUUUUGAGUUUCUGGAUAACUUGCUGCAGCUUCUACAUCAGCACUUGCUGUUUCACCUGGCACCUACAUGUUACAGAGACAGCUUGUUUCCUUAACUCUCAUGAGUCAUCUCUGCCAGCUUUAAAUUUUUCUUCCAGAGUUUCCUCACCUCUCUUAGCCUUCAUAGAAGUAAUGAGAGUUAGAGUCUUGCUCUGGAUUAGACUUUGGCUAAAGGGAAGGUUGUGGCUGGUUUGACUUCUAUCCAGUAAGCUAAACCUUUUCCAUACCCUCUAUCUGCCUGCAAUGCAGGAGACCUGGGUUCAACUCCUGGGUCAGGAAGAUCCCCUGGAGAAGGAAAUGGCAACCCACUCCAGUAUUCUUGCCUGGAGAAUCCCAUGGACAGAGAAGCCUGACAGGCUAUAGACCACAGGGUCACAAGAGUCGGACAUCAUUUAGUGACUAAACCACCACCACCACCAUAAGGCUACUUUGCUUUAUUAUCAUUUGUGUGUUCACUGGAGUGGCAAUUUUAAUUUCCUUCAAGAAUUUUGACUUUGUAUUCACAUCUUGGCUUUUUGGUGCAAGAGGCUUAGCUAUUAGCCUACUUUGGCUUUUGACAUACCUUCUUCACUAGAACUUCUAGGUUUUGAUUUAAAAUGAGAGAUAUGUGGCUCUUCCUUUCACUUGAACAUUUAGGGGCCAUUGUAGGGUUCUUCAGCUCAGUUGCUCUGUUGUGUCUGACUCUCUGCGACACUAUGGACUGCAAUACGCCAGGCUUCCCUCACAAGAAUUCAGGGAGGGCAUAGAGAGGACAGAGAAGGAGAGAGAUGAGGUAAUGGCUGAUGGAGGACUCAGAACACACAUUACAUUUAUCAGCUAUAUUUACUGUCUUAUAUAGGUGCUGUUUGUGGUGCCCUAAGACAAUUACAAUAGUAACAUUAAAGAACACUAAGCAUAUAUCACCAUAACAAAUAUAAUAAUAAUGAACAAAUUUGAAAUAUUGCAAGAAUUACUAAAAUGUGAUGGGGAGAUACUAAGUGAGCAGUCACUAUGGGAAGAAUGGCACCUGUGGAUUUACUCAAUGCAAGUUUACAAAAAGCUUCAAUUUGUAAAAAAGAUACAAUAUGUUUGAAGCACGUAAACGGAAGUGCAAUAAAAUUAGUUAUGACUAUCAUUACUUAACCAUUCUCCUGUUACCAGAAGGAUGGGCACAUGACUUAAGCUCAACCAAGAAGAUGCACUCCCUCUAGAAGCUCAUUUGGCAAAGAAGGAAAAGAAGAAGAUGAUAUAUUCUGGAAUGGUGGCAACCACAUCAGGUUUCCAGGGCAAUGGCAGUGGUUCUGGUAUGGGGUUAUCUAUUGUUCAGCUGGCGAUGGAGCAAGCUGUGGCGUCCUUUGUUCACCAUUCCUUAAUUGUAACUUUAGGCAAACCACUUAAUUUUUCCAACCCUCAAGGUAAAUUCUGUAAAAAUUAUCAUAGUGAUAUCUAUUCUCCAUGUGCCGUAAGUAAAUAAGUUUGGUAAAUAUUUCAUGUUUGGAGAUACAUACAGAUCUUAUGAAUUUCUCUGGACACAAAGUUCUCAAAUGUCCACUAAGUAGAGAUGCUAGCUAGCACUUAUAAGCUCUUCUUAGGAAAAAAAAAUGAUGGUAAAUUGCUAUUUUAAGGUCUUUUCACCCCUCUCUUAGGUCUCCCUUUUCUUAUUCAGUAACUCUGCUUCCAGCCCAGAGCACCCCCACUGGCCAUUAUGCCCUUUGCAGCACCAAAAGGUCUCAGCCUUCCUCUUACCUCUGCCCCAUUGAUAGAUUACCUUCAGAACCCCUGGACUCCCCUGUCAAAAGGAAACUAAUAUACUCAUUCUAACCAAGGAAUCAAUGGCAUAUAAUUAAUGACACACUAGACCACUGAAAAAUACACACAGAGAGCAAAUAGGGACUCACUUCAUUGCUGGUAAAGCUCAGCUAGGGAAUAUGGCCUCAAUUUGUUUGUAAGAUGGUAAAAUUGACUUCCUAGUGCUUCAUCCACUCUCUACCCCUCAUCAUACCACCAUGUUCGUAUCUUCAGACCCAUCUGAGGGAAGUGCCAGUUUACAGAGAAGCCUUACCCAGCCAGGUACGUGGAGAACACCUCUCAACUCUCACCUGUCAACAGUAGGGCAGAGAGUUGGAGGCCAUGCAUACACAAAGACCUUCAGCAACUAAGUCCACCUGACAGAGAGAUAGGAAUUAACAGAAGUCAUAUUCUUACCAUCUCAUCAAUCAUUAAAAAACACGCCUUCUCACAUAGGAAAAUCAAUGCUUGGAUCUUUAAACCAAUGUUUUUUCUUUAAACCAUCCAAUGCUUGGAUGCUUCUAACCAAUUAUAUAAUUGAAGAAAUCAGAGGUUCCUAUUGCAUGGACCAGUAGAAAUUUGGGACAGGAAAAGAAUGCUUCCUCUUUCUUUCCUGAGCCAUAAGAAUAAGAUUAGAAACACAGGAGAUUGAGGCGCUUUCCAAGGGCAGAGGUAGUAUUUUAAAGGCUUUACUGAUGUCAUUUAAUCAUAUCUCAUAUGCAGAAAUUUGCUAUGCUUUGUGAUCAUUAUUUUAAGCAGUUCUGUUGUCCUGCGUUUUUUUAAAAAAUCUAGUCAUUCACAAUUAUUUAAUUUUUCCACAUAAUAUAAAGGGCCAGUUGAAGAGAAGAUAAUAUAUCCAACUUAAUCAGAAUAUUUCAGGUUCAUCUCUAAUUAGAACUAAUAUUUAUGACAAAUUCUACCUCUUUUGAGGUCUGAAAUAAUCUUUUCCUUUACCUUACAGAGAAGACCUACAGCAGUGCUUAGCACAUAAUCAUAGUGAAUGCUCAAUAAAUGAAUGAAUUAAUCUAAUCAUACUUAUUUUCUUCUCUCUUUAAAAGGCCAUGUUAAUUCUUUAUACUUUUUUCUUUCAAUUUCUUGUGUUUCCUGUAAACAUCUUCAUUUUCUUUCCCUCAUUCAUCUUUCUUUCUCCUGGGAAACUGCUCUCUGUAAUUGUUUUAUUUUCCUGUCUUUCUGCCUCUUAUAUUCUCCUCUCAUUCAUCCUUUGUCCUCUGUGUCUAUAAUUAUCUUUAAAAUCACCUUUUCAGGUAUAACUUGGAUAAAUGGAGAGGAACAUCUUAAAUCAAGAGAUAUUGAAACUGAGAAAUUACUUAUUAGUCAUGGGGAGAAAAGCCAGAAAUCUAUCCUGAGCUGCUUUGAGACAAAGCCAAACCAGUAUCUAUUUUGAUGUCACAAACAUCCUAAAUGGAAUUCCAGUCUUCCUUCAUUGGGCAUUUACUUGAAUAUAGAACUUAUUUUAAAAAAAAAGCUGAUCCACACUUUACUAGCAUGCAUAUUUAUAUAGACAAACCUACAAAAAAUAAUCCUAUUAUCUCUGAGUAACUGAAUGGAGAAAAUCAAAUUAGUGAAAGAAGCAAUGCUGUUUUUUCUUUAAGCAUUACAACCAAUAGAACCCAUCUUAUGACUUUGUAUAAGGUAAUAAAUAUUAAUUUGAAAUAGAUAGUUCAAAUUAUUACUAUGAAACAUCCUAACUUCUGAUAUUUUAAAAAUUUUCAACAGAUCUAAAAUAUAUGGAAUAUUUUCUGUCUUUUCCAAUAAUUCUGCCAACCACAAAAUUGUUGAAUUUGAUUAUAAUCAAAACAAAGACAACAUGAGUAAUACAGAAUAUAUAGUUACCGUGGGAGAUAUAACUUUCUCAUGAGACCACUGUGCUAGAAAGUUGAAAUGAAGCUUAAUAUUGACAGACAUAAAUUAAAGAAUGACAAAUUAUUUUUUAAUAAAUUAAUGUGCAUAUUCAGUAAAUGGAUUCCUCAUAGAUUGUUGAUUUGGGGAUUUUGGCCUUAAGGAGAAAGAAAGGAAAGAAGGGAUAGUGACCCAUAUUCAAAAUCUGGUCACAUGGGAAUGAGAAAGGUUUGUGAGUUAAAUUACUCUUUUGGAGCAGAAAAAGUGAGAGUUCUGAGAACAGACAGCAGGCAAAAAUUCAGUUAGGUGAGAAGCUGACGUAAGAGAAGGACAGAAAUAAUUACUGGGGACAAGUUGCUGGGUUUCAGGAGCAGAGCUCUAGGUGUUUCAGUCUCAUAAAGACCAAGGAACCACUCAAGAAAUCAAAGGAGAGACUUAUGCAAUAAGAUGGACAGGGUUUGGGCUGCUAUGAGUAAGAGGACAGCCUUACUCCUGGAGCUCAAAACCAAGGUCAGAGCAGAAGCAAAAAUCAGGCUGCCUGAAGUUUGAUUCUCUAAGCUGUGAUCUUAAAGUUCCUGAAAUUUCCUGUGAUCAGGGACAGAAUUUGUUCCAAGUGGGGAAGGGGGAUGAGCUAAAUUUACGAGAACAACAGAAGUGUCACCAGCUUGAAAUUUAGAGGAGAAAAGAGAUAAACAUCAUUAUGUGAAUUAAUUCAUAAAGGGGGAGAAAAUCUACUCUAAAAGUCCAAUGUUAUAAAAAAAAAAUUCCAAGUUGGUUAGGGAAACUCUGUUCAGGUGGCUGGGAUGGUUAAAUGUGUUAGAACAGUGGCUAACAUACAGUAGUUAUUCAAUAUAUGUUAACUUACUACUGUUAGUAUUACCAAUCUAUGACUGUUUUGCAGUUCUUCAUGCAAAUGCUGCUUUACCAAAGUUUCUGAAAGAAAGCACAAAGGGAACUAACUGGUAGGGGGUUCUUUAAGGACUUCAUGACCUGGAAGGAUCUAGUUUGGUACACUUUGGAAAGCAAACAAGGCUUAGCCAGCGUGGGUUACAGAAGAUCCUCUCAGAAAUCUGUGAGAGUAGGGAGGAACAAGAUCGCGGAAGAGGCUCUUUAGUUCCUCUUCACUUUUUGCCAUAAGUCUUGUGUCAUCUGCCUAUCAGAGGUAAUAGAUAUUUCUCCAGGCAAUCUUGAUUCCAGCUUGUGCUUCACCCAGCCUGGCAUUUUUCAUGAUGUACUCUGCAUAUAAGUUAAAUAAGUCAGGUUACGAUAUACAAUCUUGGCAAUAAAUGCAUGAGUGACAGAUGACAAUAUAAAGUUAUAUUAAAGGACUGUUAAAAUUAUGGUUUCCAUGCUUUGUCUUUAAACAUUAAUUUCUUUGCCCUUUGGCUUUUCACUUAGUUAUGGUUUAGGUUAAACUUGGUUUUGGAUUGGUAGUGGCAAGAUUUUAAUCACUAUGUAAGAAAGGUAUUAAGACCAUCCCCAUGGAAAAGAAAUGCAAAAAGCAAAAUGGCUGUCUGAGGAGGCCUUACAAAUAGCUGUGAAAAGAAAAGUGAAAAGCAAAGGAGAAAAGGAAAGAUAUAAGCAUCUGAACGCAAAGUUCCAAAGAAUAGCAAGAAGCGAUAAAAAAAGCUUUCCUCAGUGAUCAAUGUAAAGAAAUAGAGGAAAAUAACAGAAUGGGAAAGACUAGAGAUGUCUUCAAGAAAAUUAGAGACACCAAGGGAAUAUUUCAUGCAAAAAUGGGCUCGAUAAAGGACAGAAAUGGUAUGGACCUAACAGAAGCAGAAGAUAUUAAGAAGACAUAGCAAGAAUACACGGAAGAACUGUACAAAAAAGAUCUUCAAGACCAAGAUAAUCACGAUGAUGUGAUCACUCACCUAGAGCCUGACAUCCUGGAAUGUGAAGUCAAGUGGGCCUUAGAAAGCAUCACUACGAACAAAGCUAGUGGAGGUGAUAGAAUUCCAGUUGAGCUAUUUCAAAUCCUGAAAGAUGAUGCUGUGAAAAUGCUACACUCAAUAUGCCAGCAAAUUUGGAAAACUCAGCGGUGGCCACAGGACUGGAAAAUGUCAGUUUUCAUUCCAAUCCCAAAGAAAGGCAAUGCCAAAGAAUGCUCAAACUACUGCACAAUUGCACUGUGGAAAAUUCUGAAAGAGAUGGGAAUACCAGACCACCUGACCUGCCUCUUGAGAAACCUAUAUGCAGGUUAGGAAGCAACAGUUAGAACAGGACAUGGAACAACAGACUGGUUCCAAAUAGGAAAAGGAGUACGUCAAGGCUGUAUAUUGCUACCCUGCUUAUUUAAUUUCUAUACAGAGUACAUCAUAAGAAAUGCUGGGCUGGAAGAUUCACAAGCUGGAAUCAAGAUUGCUGGGAGAAAUAUCAAUAACCUCAGAUAUGCAGAUGACACCACCCUUAUGGCAGAAAGUGAAGAGGAACUAAAAAGCCUCUUGAUGAAAGUGAAAGAGGAGAGUGAAAAAGUUGGCUUAAAGCUCAACAUUCAGAAAACGAAGAUCAUGGCAUCUGGUCUCAUGACUUCAUGGGAAAUAGAUGGGGAAACAGUGGAAACAGUGUUAGAUUUUAUUUUAUUUUUUGCUCCAAAAUCACUGCAGAUGGUGACUGCAGCCAUGAAAUUAAAAGAUGCUUACUCCUUGGAAGAAAAGUUAUGACCAACCUAGAUAGCAUAUUGAAAAGCAAAGACAUUACUUUGCCAACAAAGGUCCAUUUAGUCAAGGCUAUGGUUUUUCUAGUGGUCAUGUAUGGAUGUGAGAGUUGGACUGUGAAGAAAGCUGAGUGCUGAAGAAUUGAUGCUUUUGAACUGUGGUGUUGGAGAAGACUCUUGAGAGUGUCUUGGACUGCAAGGAGAUCAGCCCUGGGAUUUCUUUGGAGGGAAUGAUGCUAAAGCUGAAACUCCUGUACUUUGGCCACCUCAUGCAAAGAGUUGACUCAUUGGAAAAGACUCUCAUGCUGGGAGGGAUUGGGGGCAGGAGUAGAAGGGGACAACAGAGGAUGAGAUGGCUGGAUGGCAUCACGGACUUGAUGGACGUGAGUCUGAGUGAACUCCAGGAGCUGGUGAUGGACAGGGAGGCCUGGCGUGCUGCGAUUCAUGGGGUCUCAAAGAGUUGGACAUGACUGAGUGACUGAACUGAACUGAAGCCACAGUUUCCUUGCCUUUUUUCAUUGCUUCCUUUACUGUUCACCCGCAGUGUUCUUUCUACUUGCUGCCUGCUAGAAAAUAUCCUGACAAGUGAUCUGACCUUUGGAUACUCAGUCUUAGGCUUAGUCACAUUGAGCAAGAUGCUUGGGAAGCUGCAAUAGCUCACGUUAGCAUUUGAGGUACCAUAAAAGGCAAAAGGGAGCAAUUAUCCCUUUUGGUACUUCUAAAAUUGUUAUGUGGUAUGAUUCAUAUAUUAUAACCUUCAACAUGGUAACUGGUCCUUAGAACAAGGCUUUUCUCAUCCUUCUAUCUGCGGAAUAGUCUCUGUACAUGAGGUUUAAUUCCCUAAACCCAUAAACAGAUCUAAUGAUGCCAGACCUUAAGUCAAGCCUUAUAAAGAGAGCAGUCAAAAGAUUAUAAUACAGUUCUCCAUGGCACCAAAGCAUCCUGGGGAAAAGUCUGUAGAUGAGAGAAAGCUCUUACUUAAAUUUUCUCUUCUUUACAUUGUUUUACUAAAUAUAAACAUUCUAGGCCAACAUAUAUUUGGAAACUAUUAGUCUAUUGCAGGCUGUGUUCAUAUGAAACAAGUGUUAAGGUUUUUAUUUUAAAAUAAAUCUAGAUAAUUUCUAACAUUAUGUUAUUUGUUGGAGUAACUUAGUUCCUUGACCUAAAGACUGAAUGAAUUAAGUUGGUGAAAAACUGAAGACAGGCUUAUUUUACAGUUAAUAAAAUAACUUGAACAAGAGAGAAUUGUUUUCUUAUUAUGGAUUUUACAUUUUUUACUCUAUGACUUGAUUCUCAAUUACUGGGCCAAGGUUCUUAUCAUAAAAAAUGGAAGAAAAAUUCCAUUGAUUUGUUAAAUUUAGCCAUUAAAAAAAAUCUACUAACAGGUUCCAUCAAUUGUGAUAAGUGCAGAAGAGUUCAGUGAAAUACAUAAGUAGAAUUGAUAAUAGGAACACAAAUAGAACUCUAAUCGAUGCUAUUCAAUAAUCAAUCUUCCCUCUUUUGAAUAUCAGAUAUGUUAGUCAUGUUAUAUUAGCUACAUAGGGGCUUUCCUGAUAGCUCAGCUGGUAAAGAAUCCACCUGCUAUGUAGGAGAUCUAAUAUAUAUUAAUUAUCAGGUUUAUAUAUAUAUAUAUGUAUAUAUAUAUAUAUUAGACACUACAGCUUAAAGGAACAAAUAUUACUCUACUCAAUAAACUUAGCAGCUUAGAAGUAGAAGUUUAAAAUGAUGGACAAUUAUUAUCUCAGUUUCUGGGUGAAGUAUGUAGAAGCUACUUAGCUGGGUGGUUCUAACUUGGCAUCUCUCAUAAGGGUGCAUUAAAGCUGUCAGCUGGGGUAUCAUUUGAAGGUUUGAGUUGGGCUGGAAGAUGUACUUCUAAGAUGUCAUACUCAUAUGACCCAUACUAGAAAUACUUGGUCCCUUGCCACAUGAGGGCUUCCUUUGUGGCUUAACUGGUAAAGAAUUCACCUGCAAUGCAGGAGACCUGGGUUCGAUCCCUGGGUUGGGAAGAUCCUCUGGAGAAGGGAAAGGCUACCUACUCCAGUAUUCUGGCCUGGAGAAUUCCAUGGACUGUAUAGUCCAUGGGGUCACAAAGGAUCAGACACAACUGAGUGACUUUCACUUUCACCUGCCACAUGAACCUCUCGAAACUGCUUGUGUAUAUAUACAUACACACAUAUUUUUUCAGCAUUACUAAAUUAUUGUCACUGCAGCUGUGUUCUGGUCCUAGAAGGUCACAUUUACAUGAUUUAAUAAUUUUUGAACAGUUCUGCUUCCUCAAGGAAAUGCUUUUGUUUAGGCUGUGGGGAGCAGAAUACAUCAAAGACAUAUCACUUUUCUCCUUUCCCCCUACCCUUUACAUCCCCCCAUUCUCUUUCUCCCUUCUAACCUCCUCCCCUUCAUAUCCCUGCAGCCCCUAGAACUAAAUGUGCAGUGAGGAAUUGUAUAAUAUCUUACACAGAUCUACAUAGACAUGAGUUUACUAUAAUAAAAGCUGAUUUCUGAAUAAGCGAAUAAGCCUAAUUUAAAAUCUUGUUAUAUUUUUCAAGUCUUACAUAAUGACAUUAGGCUCUUACUUAGAUUUAUAUAAAAUUGGCAUCUGGGAAUGGUACAAAAACCUAUUAAAAUAUGGUUACCAGGAAAGAUUUCUAGCUAAGAAGUUCUUCAUAUUCUAUGAGUUCAGUUGCCUGUAGAGGUUUUAGUUUACUUCAAGUUCACUGUAAGUCAACCAGACUGAAAAAUAAAUGCUUAAGAGAACAAGGAGACAAACCACAGACUGGGAUAAAAUGUUUACAGAAGACAUAUCUAAUACAUUUUUUCUGUUACCCAAAAUAUGCAAAGAACUUUUAAAACUCAGCAAUGGAAAAUAAACAACCCAAUUAAAAAAUGGACCAAAGACCUUAACAGAAAUUCCACCAAGGAAGAUAUUAAGCUGGAAAAUAAGGAUAUGAAAAGAUACUCCACAGCAUAUAUCAUGAGAGAAAUGCAAAUGAAAAUAACAAUGAGAUAACACUGCACACCUACUAGAAUGGCCAAAAUCAUCAGCACUAUGAUUAAUCUGUCAUGCUGUUAAGUAAGUACUUUUAUCCUAGAUUAUUGAACAGGUAGGGAGAACGAUGGAUUGGGAAUCAGGAGACCUAGAUUUUUAGCCCCUUGAUUUUAACGUUUACCUGGCGGACAGGCUAGCCUUGGGAUAUCAUUUGUCAAGAGAGAAUAUUGGAGUAAAUGAUAUUAAUUACUUCUUUUAGCCCUAGUGCUCUGUGAUGCUGCCAUAUUAUAGAUAAUUUCUGGCAGACUGAUUAAUGUCUACCAAGAGAAAACUGGCCAUUACCAGUUUAAAGUUAAGGUUGAGUGUAAAUCUAAAAAUGGAUGUUUUCUAUCCUCACCUUUUCUUCUCUGCAAUCCCAAUUGUUUCAUUUCUUAAUUGUUCCUGAUCAGACACACUGAUGGCAUGUCUAUAUGUGUCUUUUAAAGUGAAUUAAUGUGUUAAUAUCACCUAGAUUUGGGCAGCAAGGGAUCAGUGCUCACAUUGCUAAUCAUUAUGUCACUUACCUAAAACAAGUCAUGGUUGAAAUCACUGACGAACCGUGUCUUACAAACAUACUUUAAAGUCAUGUAGUGUAAUUUCACUGCGUGGUUGCUCUUUGGAUUGAUCAAAGUUGGGAGUGGAGCUGGUCAUUCAGUUCAGUUCAGUUCAGUUCAGUCGCUCAGUUGUGUCCGAUUCUUUGCAACCCCAUGAAUCGCAGCAUGCCAGGCCUCGCUGUCCAUCACCAUCUCCCGGAGUUCACUCAGACUCACGUCCGUCGAGUCAGUGAUGCCAUCCAUCCAUCUCAUCCUCUGUCGUCCCCUUCUCCUCCUGCCCCCAAUCCUUCCCAGCAUCAGAGUCUUUUCCAAUGAGUCAACUCUUUGCGUGAGGUGGCCAAAGUACUGGAGUUUCAGCUUUAGCAUCAUUCCUUCC
ensembl:lncRNA